CGAGAGGAGCCAGAGUCUAUUUGCAGCACAAACACGCUUUCUAAAAAUAGGGACGCAGGUCGGCGGGCUGCGGCGCUCGCCACUCGGACGGUGAGCCGCCCACUGCUGCUGCGCUUCCUCCCUCGCCGCGCUGGCCCAACGGCCACCGGCCCCCCCCCCCACGCCGUGUGCCUCCCCAGGGUGCUCGGGACUCGGGUCGACCGUCCUGGGAGCAGUUUGGGGGCCCGGGGUGCUGGUCCGGGGAAGCCAAGUGCGGUGACUGGCCUCGCCAUGUGGGGCCCCAGGAUCCUUGGGGACCACCCCCGCAGCGCCCUCUGCAGACGGUGACCACAGGGGCAGCAUCUCUGAAGGGAAUCGCCUGUCACCUGGCAUCAGCGCUCUUUUCGCCAAAUCGCUUCUGAGGCGACUCCAAGACGCUUCCAGCCAGGGCAACGCCCCCUCUGAUCCUGAAGGUUCGGGGGACUUCCGUUUGCGGAGGGCGGCCUCCCACGACGGCUGGAAUGAGGGUAAGAAACUUCUGGAAUGCGGGAAAGGAGGGAACUGACUGUGCGGAAACCGACACCGUGCACGCCGCGCAGAGGCCCCGGCUCCUGGAGGCACCCACGUGGGAUGCACUCGGCCGUGAGAACAGACCUGAGGAUUUCGCGCGGCGGCUGCCACGGUUUCCCAGGGGUGGGCGUCCCCCCAGAAACUCUCCGAUGCAUGCCACCCGGGACUGAGGAGGUGUCGCUUCCGUCGAAGGAGGGCUUUCCGCCCGCAGAACUCUCCCGGUUUGAACUCCGAUUUCGGGCGAGGGCGGGGUGGCGGGCCUGCACGUGUCCCCUGCGGCGGGCUCUCCUGGCCGGGGCCUCGGACCGCGGGCUCCUUCGGGCUACAGGCCCACCCGGCGGCCGAAGCAGGUCCCCCACAGCCGAGUCACCUGGGAGCUCAGCCCGCCCGGGACUCUGCUCUGCUGGCUGAGAGCGUCACUGAUCUCCCUCAGAGAGAAGGCUUGCUUUUGCUAGACUUUUUCCAGCCUUUGGCUGCUUUGUGAACUUUUUAUUAGUCCGCUUAUUGCUUAUUUUGCGUGGUCUUCAGCACCAGAGGGAGAAGGGCGCCACUGUGCUUUGUGCUGUGGGGCCGUAUCGUACUGACCGCCCCCCCCCACCCCCCCGCCGUGGGGGACGGAAUGCCGACGUCCCGGCCGCCUAAACAGCCGCAGACGACAGACCCAAACAUCCCCCUUGCAGAGCGGCCGCGCAGCCUCCCUCUCGACCCUGACCUUAAAUACUGGCCGCCCCCCAUCGAGGAGAGCCGUGCCCUUCGUCUUACAGCGUUUGUCUCCAUGCCGACCGCAAGUGCCAGAGGGUGAUUCUUCCUAGAAAAACCAACCCUUUGCGAUAACACGCAGCGUGUCCCUGACUAAUGAGGUUGCCUGAGGUUGGCAGGCACGGGGAGUCUCGUCGCCCCACCCCGUGCUGGGCGAUCACGCGGCGUCCUGUCUGCGCACGCCAAGCCCCGGAGCCAGCAAAACUCUCCCGUCGUUAGCCUCUCUGCCUAACCAGGCUACUCGUGAAGGACCGAGCCAUCAGUCACGCCGGCCAAGCCCGCCGAGAUGGGAGCGGACGCCAGAGGCUGAUGAAAUCCCUGGGCCAGCGCCGCGGCCGGCUUUGCCGUGGUGACUGGUGGCUCACCGCCAGUGUGUGUGUGUGGGGGGGGGGAGGCGUCCUCUGAGGUUGCUCAAUGUUCCUGGGCAGUCGUAACUGCCCUCUGAACCCGAGGUGGAAAAGAGGGUCUUUAUUUAUGUGUUUGUUGUUUGCUCUGUUUGGAAGCUGGAGAAGGCUCUCUCUCGGUGGCAGGGCUGUGGGGGAGCCCCGGGCCGGGGCCCUGUCCUUUCCCGACGGCUCUGAACGCAGGGCGAGGGCCCCCGCAGGGCGAACGGCAGCUGGAGAGCUAGAGGCAUGUCGUGCGCCGUGAGCACCGAGCCGCUGCUCUGCUCUCCUUGACUGACGGCCACUUCUCCCCCCGCAGAGAGCCCCUCUGAAGCGAAAACUAAAAACAAAUAUUCCUCACCAUCCCUAAAAGAAAGGGCCAUCAAAUGCGUCUCGCUUUCUGAUCGCCACAUUCCGGGUGUCCGUGCCUAGCCUGGCCCACAAAGACUCCUUUCCUCCACCCCAGGUGGGGCCCGCGUGGCAUGCAGGUGAGCAGCGGAGGGAACUUUCUGACCGUGGAGCAGAGAGGGGCUCCCUGAGGGCGCUCCUGACCACGCAGUGGGUGAAAUGGCGGCAGGUUUGCAGGCAGGCGUCCCGGGAGGAAGCAGAGGCCACGGCAACACAGGCCCGGCACACCCUGGGCUCGCUGCCCCUCGAGUCCCGGAGCAGGACUUUCACAGCGACAAGAGGAGGCAAGAUAAAAGCUCCCCGUGCUGACCCGGUACCCGGCCCCGGACCGGCCAGAGGAACGAGGAUCCAGCCGCUUGUUUUUAAUCACGUAGACCGUGAUUUAUGGGCUGACUCAUCUGUGAACAAGGACAGUGUCCAGGCACUGGACACUGUCCACACAGAACGGACGCCGCCACGGCGGGGCUCGCCCGGGGCUGGCGCUUCUGCCGCGUGGCGUGGGGGGCGCGGGGGCAGGGACGCGGCGGCAGGGCCUGACCGGCUAUGCGUGGUUUUCCCUCCGGGGGUUGUUGGUUGGGUCUUUUAUCCAUUUUUCUGUGGGGCGGUUUGUCUUUUUCUCGUGGAUUUGAGCCCCAUGACGGAUGGACGGACAGGCCGUAGGUAGGGGCUGCAGCUCAGCGACGUGUCUCACAGAUGUCUCCCCCCAGUUUUUGGAAGGCAGUUUACAACAACAGAUGUUUCCCAUUUCGAGGGAGUGGAUUCGCCCGUCGAUCCUCGAGUGAUUCAUGAGUUGUGUGUCUUGCUUAAGAAACCCGUCUCCACCCCAAGGUGAGGCUGGUUUUCACCCAGGCUGCUCCCGCCGGCUGUGCUUUCACGUUUAAGCCCCCCCCCCUCGGGACUGAGGGUGUCCGCGGCGGGGGGUAGACAGCUAUUUCACACGCCCCACGUGGGAACACGUUUUCUCAGCCCCGUAUACGACACGGCCCCUUCUUCGAAGCGGCCUCUCGGGACAUGAUUGUCGCCGAUCAAACCUCCGUGUCGUCCCUGGUCUGUGCCUGUGCCCUUACCCCGCACCCUGUCUCCUUGAUCCACCCACUGCCCACCCACUGCCCACCCACUGCCCCUGCCGCACACUCAAGCCAUCACCCGCCGCAGGGCCGCGAUUGGGUUGGUGUGGGGGCAGCUCCUUCGUUUGUUUCUUUACGGGUUGUUCUCUGGAGGCGGAGAACGUGCCUCUUCGGUCCCUGUCUCCCCGGGAAGGGCCCGCCGUCCGUCCGACGCCUCGGAUGUUGUUUUCUGGCCGUUUUUGUGAGCGAUGCCCUGUGAGCCAGGGGGGAAACGCGAAGCCAGGACCCCUUUCCGGCGGGUCUGCCCCGAGCGUCGCGUCACAGCGAGAAGGGGCCGGUGGUCCGCGGGGCCUCCCUGCCCACUUCACCGGGACACGGGAACAGAGCCUUCACUGGGGACUCGACCUCGUCCCCCGGGCGCCCCGGCUUCUCUGAGUGGCCAGGCGGCCCCGCUCCAGGGGGCGGCCCUGUCCCGCCCACCUCCUGGUCCCCCUGCCGCCCAC